CUUGUGCCCGCUUUUAAAUUUAGAUGCUAAAUGCGAACAAAAAUAAGCUGUUCAUACCAUGUUUGCAUAGUGCUUGGCAGUGGCAUCCCUCUAAACAAGUUAUGACUAUCUUAAAACGGCUCAAAAAGGACCCGGAACAAACGUUGAAUUGUCAACAUUGUAAAACCUUUAACUAAUUAAGGAUCAGACUGCAGGAACCAGAACAAUUUAAAUUUACCAAUUUUAUUGUAAUGUUCCAAGCUUUUAUGAAAAAACUCAAAAUGGUCCUGCAAAUGAAUAUUGUUGCAGAACAAUGGGAGAUUAAGGAGAAAAAGUCUAAACUUCAACUCUUCCCAUCUCUAGAAAGAAGGUGAAUACAGUUAAAGAAGAUAUAUGGAGGAGUGUUUAUUUGAUAAAACCAAUCUUGAGACCUGAUAUAAGAGUAAACCAACCUGCAGAUCCAAGAUUUAUUAACGUGGAUACUGAGAGACAAGAACCAAACCUAUAGUCCAAGAUAUGUGAAACUUAGAAGAUUGUGAUAAGGCUCACCCCUGAUCCCAACUAGAACCUGUACCAGAGCGGAACCUGUCCUGAAAGUAACCUUAGAACCAGAGCCCCAGUGUUAACUCUACCUGGAGCUGAACCUGAGAUUAUCCAACCCUGAUUUAUACCUGAAAAUAAACCUUAUCCGGAGUAGGAUUUGGACCUAUUGUUGGAGUAGAACCUGAACCUGGAGUUAGCUUAAAGCUAUACCUGGAGCUAAACCACUUAAAACUAAUCCAAGAUCUAAACCAACAUCAGAUCUUAAUAAGGUUAGAAGGAGUCCAAUUUACUAAAAAGAAAUUUUUGAUAGAGUUUAAAGAUUACUAAAGAGAAACUGUUUAGGAUUAAUUCUGUACGAAACUCCUAAGAUGUAAAGAUAACCCUGAGCAAAGCAAUCCUGAAAUCUUCAAGCUAUUCAAAACCAUCGGAGAAUAAUUUGGCAAGAAUAAGCAAGAUCUAAGAAGAGCAUUAAAACACCUCAAAGAUCGCAUCAGAUUUUUCACCGUGUUGAGAGAUGAAAAUAAACUCUAAACCUACAUCUUCUUUCAAAACGAGUGCAUAAAAACGAUCUUGUGUGAACUGUGUCCUAAAUAUUGUAAUGAAGCUUAAAAAUAAACUCGGCCUAUUUUACGUUUCACAAUUGCAAUGUUUUAAGUUCAUUGGAUUAUUUAAACCGUGUUCUAACAGUCAUGGUCCUAUGAGUCCCAAUAUACAUGCAUUUUAUCUACCCCAAAAAAUCAAUCGUUUUAAUCUUUUUUAACUCAAAUCAGGCGUUUAGGGACAUCCUACUUUUCAACCCAAGACUAUAAGUAAAUAUACUACAGCAAAAUGAUUAAUUUUUCCAUUUGCUACUAGAUAAAUU